rnacentral:tRNA from 1 species
GCUGCGGUGUCCGAGUGGUUAAGGAGAUGGACUUGAAAUCCAUUGGGCUCUGCCCGCAUAGGUUCGAAUCCUGUCCGCAGGACA